rnacentral:rRNA from 1 species
GUGCCAGCCGCCGCGGUAAUACCGGCAGCCCGAGUGAUGGCCGAUCUUAUUGGGCCUAAAGCGUCCGUAGCUGGCUGCGCAAGUCCGUCGGGAAAUCCACGUGCUUAACACGUGGGCGUCCAGCGGAAACUGUCCGGCUUGGGGCCGGAAGACCCGAGGGGUACGUCCGGGGUAGGAGUGAAAUCCUGUAAUCCUGGGCGGACCGCCGGUGGCGAAAGCGCUUCGAGAAAACGGAUCCGACAGUGAGGGACGAAAGCCAGGGUCUCCAACCGGAUUAGAUACCCCAGUAGUCC